rnacentral:misc_RNA from 1 species
UCCGAUUUGUCACCGGCAGUCUCCCAUGAGUCCCCGACAUUACUCGCUGGCAACAUGGAACAGGGGUUGCGCUCGUUGCGCCACUUAAGGCAACACCUCACGGCACGAGCUGACGACAGCCGUGCAGCACCUGUGCGGGCUCCCGAAGGAGCACCGUGUUUCCACACCGGUCACGAACAUGUCAAACCCAGGUAAGGUUCUUCGCGUUGCGUCGAAUUAAACCACAUGCUCCGCCGCUUGUGCGGGCCCCCGUCAAUUCCUUUGAGUUUUAAUCUUGCGACCGUACUCCCCAGGCGGAAUGCUUAAAGCGUUAGCUGCGCCACUGAGCAGCAAGCUGCCCAACGGCUGGCAUUCAUCGUUUACGGCGUGGACUAC